rnacentral:rRNA from 1 species
AGAGUUUGAUCAUGGCUCAGGAUAAACGCUGGCAGCGUGCCUAACACAUGCAAGUCGAACGCUCUAGCUCGCAAGAGGUAGGGAGUGGCGGACGGGUGAGGAACACGUGGGAAUCGACCCUGAGGUGAGGAAUACCACCGGGAAACCGGUGACAAUACCGCAUAGCCUUGGCAGCAAGGAAAGCUCGCAAGAGCGCCACAGGACGAGCCUGCGCCCGAUUAGUUAGCUGGUGAGGUAAUGGCUCACCAGGACGACGAUCGGUAGCUGGUCUGAGAGGACGAUCAGCCACACUGGGAUUGAGAACGGCCCAGACUCCUACGGGGGGCAGCAGUGAGGAAUUUUCGUCAAUGGGGGCAACCCUGAACGAGCAACGCCGCGUGCAGGAAGAAGGUUUUCGGAUCGUAAACUGCUUUUCUCUGGGACGAGUACGGACGGUACCAGAGGAACAAGCCCCGGCUAACUACGUGCCAGCAGCCGCGGUAAUACGUAGGGGGCGAGCGUUGUCCGGAGUUACUGGGCGUAAAGGGUCCGAAGGCGGUGUGCAGCGUUUCACGUGACAGUCUCCGGCUCAACUGGAGAAGGAUGUGGAAAACGAGCAGACUUGAGGGCGUGAGAGGAAAGCGGAAUUCCGGGUGGAGUGGUGAAA